rnacentral:rRNA from 1 species
CCUACGGGAGGCAGCAGUGGGGAAUAUUGGACAAUGGGGGCAACCCUGAUCCAGCCAUGUCGCGUGUGUGAAGAAGGCCCUCGGGUUUUAAAGCACUUUCAGGGAGGAAGAACGCCUGGUGGUUAAUACCCAUCAGGAAAGACAUCACUCACAGAAGAAGCACCGGCUAACUCCGUGCCAGCAGCCGCGGUAAUACGGAGGGUGCGAGCGUUAAUCGGAAUUACUGGGCGUAAAGCGCGCGUAGGUGGCUUGAUAAGCCGGUUGUGAAAGCCCCGGGCUCAACCUGGGAACGGCAUCCGGAACUGUCAAGCUAGAGUGCAGGAGAGGAAGGUAGAAUUCCCGGUGUAGCGGUGAAAUGCGUAGAGAUCGGGAGGAAUACCAGUGGCGAAGGCGGCCUUCUGGACUGACACUGACACUGAGGUGCGAAAGCGUGGGUAGCAAACAGGAUUAGAUACCCGAGUAGUC